AUGGAACUUAUAUUCUAGUGAUGGUGAGAACACAGAGACCGUCACUAAAUGACAUUUCUGCAAGACAUGAACAUCACCCUCUUGGACUUUAAACCAGACUUUGGAUCACUAAGGAGAGUCUAGGGACACAAUGGGCUCAUCCUUGAGUGUACUGGAAGAGAAAAUGUAACAGAGGCGUCAAGAGUUAAAAGAAGAAAUUCGGGAGAGAAAAAUUGAGAGGGACUCAGAAUUGUUCUUCCUCAUGUGGCACACGGUAUGCAGGAUAAAGCUCUUCUCUUAAGACAAGACUGAAUAGAAGCAAAGCAAGCCACCUAACACAGCAACAGCAAAAAAGAUUUCUUUUUAUGGUUUCCAGGAAAACAAAGUCAGAACUUCUGAAAGAAUACUGGAGUCUUGUUAUUUUCCAUCUGUUGU